AGUGAACGCUGGCGGUAGGCCUAACACAUGCAAGUCGAACGGCAGCACAGUAAGAGCUUGCCCUUACGGGUGGCGAGUGGCGGACGGGUGAGGAAUACAUCGGAAUCUACUUUUUCGUGGGGGAUAACGUAGGGAAACUUACGCUACUACCGCAUACGACCUACGGGUGAAAGCAGGGGAUCUUCGGACCUUGCGCGAUUGAAUGAGCCGAUGUCGGAUUAGCUAGUUGGCGGGGUAAAGGCCCACCAAGGCGACGAUCCGUAGCUGAUCUGAGAGGAUGAUCAGCCACACUGGAACUGAGACACGGUCCAGACUCCUACGGGAGGCAGCAGUGGGGAAUAUUGGACAAUGGGCGAAAGCCUGAUCCAGCCACACCGCGUGGGUGAAGAAGGCCUUCGGGUUGUAAAGCCCUUUUGUUGGGAAAGAAAAGCAGCAGGUUAAUACCCGGCUGUUCUGACGGUACCCAAAGAAUAAGCACCGGCUAACUUCGUG
rnacentral:rRNA from 1 species